rnacentral:rRNA from 1 species
GACGUAGGGUGCAAGCGUUGUCCGGAAUUAUUGGGCGUAAAGAGUUCGUAGGCGGUUACUUAAGUCUGGUGUUAAAGCCCGAUGCUCAACGUCGGCAUGGCAUUGGAAACUGGGUAGCUAGAGUGUGUCAGAGGUUACGGGAAUUCCUGGUGUAGCGGUGAAAUGCGUAGAUAUCAGGAGGAACACCUGUGGCGAAAGCGCGUAACUGGGGCAUAACUGACGCUGAGGAACGAAAGCGUGGGGAGCGAACAGG